rnacentral:lncRNA from 1 species
CUUUAAACUAUCGGUUUUGAUUGGUCUAGACGAGAGGGUAACAUUCAAAAAAAUUGUCACCCUCUCAGCUAUUUGGUAGAGUAAAUUAACACCCUCUUAUCAGCCAAUCAAAAUAUGUCAUUUCAACGUGAAGUAUAAUAAUGUGAGUUGUCAUCUUCAUUUUAUCUAUGUUUUGAAUACUGUUUUUCUAUGUUUUGUUUUGUGUACUUUUGUUGUCUGUUUGUCUUUGUCUUUUUAUCCUAUGGCGUUUUUAGGUAUUUUUUUUUCGAUUUAUGAGUUUGACUUCCCCUCUGGUAUCUUUCGCUCCUCUCUUGUGUGACUUUUAAUUGUUAGAACAAAAGCUUGCUUAAUUUGUGUAAAAGAGAAAAUUUAAUAAUUGUUCCCUGCAGUUUUUUAUAUAUUCUGUUUUAUUUUUUUUUCUUUAAAACUGUCCUGUACCAAGUCAGAAAAAUGGCCAUUGUUAUACCAUAGUUCGUUUCUGUGUGUGUAACAUUUUACGUUGUGUCGUUUGUUUUCUCUUAUAUUAUAGUGUGAAUUCACAUUACUAUGAGACGUGUCACGAUACUUUUCUAUCCCAAAUUCAUGUAUUUAGUUUUGAUGUUAUAUUUGUUAUUCUCAUCGGAUUUUGUUUAAUGCUUAGUCCGUUUCUGUGUGUGUAACAUUUUAAUGUUUUGUCCUUGUUCUCCUCUUAUAUUUAAUGCGUUUCCCUCAGUUUUGGUUUGUUACCCCGAUUUUGUUUUUGUCCAUAGAUUUACGAGUUUUGAACAGCGGUAUACUACUGUUGCCUUUAUUUAUUAUAUAAACAUCGGAUUAUGGUUUUAUUGGCACGUUUAAUAACAUACCAGGAUUCUCGGUUACAUCAUAUAUUGCUGUAAUGUUUAGAACAUAACUUAUCCAAUACAUUUGUGCUUUGGUUUACAAUAGCAAUAUCAAGUGCAAUUACGCAAGGUAAUCUAAUCAAAUGAGA